rnacentral:rRNA from 1 species
AGUGGCGGACGGGGGAGUAACGCGUGGGUAACCUGCCUCAUACAGGGGGAUAACAGUUAGAAAUGACUGCUAAUACCGCAUAAGACCACGGUACCGCAUGGUACAGUGGUAAAAACUCCGGUGAUAUGAGAUGGACCCGCGUCUGAUUAGGUAGUUGGUGGGGUAACGGCCUACCAAGCCGACGAUCAGUAGCCGACCUGAGAGGGUGACCGGCCACAUUGGGACUGAGACACGGCCCAG